GGCCCACAUAUCUGUGGCGCAAUGGAUAGCGCAUUGGACUUCUAAUUCAAAGGUUGUGGGUUCGAGUCCCACCAGAGUCG